rnacentral:rRNA from 1 species
UGGGAGCCUCUUUAUGGGGUGACUGCGUACCUUUUGUAUAAUGGGUCAGCGACUUAUAUUCUGUAGCAAGGUUAACCGAAUAGGGGAGCCGAAGGGAAACCGAGUCUUAACUGGGCGUUAAGUUGCAGGGUAUAGACCCGAAACCCGGUGAUCUAGCCAUGGGCAGGUUGAAGGUUGGGUAACACUAACUGGAGGACCGAACCGACUAAUGUUGAAAAAUUAGCGGAUGACUUGUGGCUGGGGGUGAAAGGCCAAUCAAACCGGGAGAUAGCUGGUUCUCCCCGAAAGCUAUUUAGGUAGCGCCUCGUGAAUUCAUCUCCGGGGGUAGAGCACUGUUUCGGCAAGGGGGUCAUCCCGACUUACCAACCCGAUGCAAACUGCGAAUACCGGAGAAUGUUAUCACGGGAGACACACGGCGGGUGCUAACGUCCGUCGUGAAGAGGGAAACAACCCAGACCGCCAGCUAAGGUCCCAAAGUCAUGGUUAAGUGGGAAACGAUGUGGGAAGGCCCAGACAGCCAGGAUGUUGGCUUAGAAGCAGCCAUCAUUUAAAGAAAGCGUAAUAGCUCACUGGUCGAGUCGGCCUGCGCGGAAGAUGUAACGGGGCUAAACCAUGCACCGAAGCUGCGGCAGCGACACUAUGUGUUGUUGGGUAGGGGAGCGUUCUGUAA